rnacentral:rRNA from 1 species
GAUUAACGCUAGCGGCAGGCCUAAUACAUGCAAGUCGAGGGGUAAAUAGUGUAGCAAUACAUUAUGAGACCGGCGCACGGGUGCGUAACACGUUUGCAAUCUACCUCUAACUGGGGGAUAGCCUUCCGAAAGGAAGAUUAAUACCGCAUAAUACUACGAUGAGGCAUCUCAAUGUAGUCAAAACUCCGGUGGUUAGAGAUGAGCAUGCGCGACAUUAGCUAGUUGGUGAGGUAAUGGCUCACCAAGGCUACGAUGUCUAGGGGGUCUGAGAGGAUGA